rnacentral:rRNA from 1 species
UACGUAGGGGGCAAGCGUUGUCCGGAUUUAUUGGGCGUAAAGAGCGUGUAGGCGGCCUGAAAGGUCAGCUGUGAAAACUCGAGGCUCAACCUCGAGACGUCGGUUGAAACCAUCUGGCUAGAGUCCGGAAGAGGAGUGUGGAAUUCCCGGUGUAGCGGUGAAAUGCGCAGAUAUCGGGAAGAACACCCGUGGCGAAGGCGGCACUCUGGGACGGUACUGACGCUGAGACGCGAAAAGCGUGGGGAGCGAACAGG